rnacentral:rRNA from 1 species
CCCCUAGAUGUUCUGGGCCGCACGCGCGCUACACUGAACAGUUCAACAAGUCUUAACCUUGGCCGAUAGGUCUGGGUAAUCUUUGAACGCUGUUCGUGAUUGGGAUAGACCUUUGCAAUUAUGGGUCUUCAACGAGGAAUUCCUAGUAAACGCAAGUCAUCAGCUUGCAUUGAUUACGUCCCUGCCCUUUGUACACACCGUCCGUCGCACCUACCGAUUGAAUGGUCCGGUGAAAUCUCGGGACGGCGGCUUGGUCGCUUGCGUCCGACUGCUGAAACUUGAUUAAACCAUAUCAUUUAGAGGAAGGUGAAGUCGUAACA